rnacentral:rRNA from 1 species
AGAGAGAGACAUGCGCGCAUAUCAAUAAGCGGAGGAAAAGAAACUAACAAGGAUUCCCCUAGUAACGGCGAGUGAAGCGGGAAGAGCUCAAAUUUGAAAUCUUAAAGGGUUUCCCUUUACGAAUUGUAGUUUAAAGAAGUGUUUUCUGUUGAGGUUUUGGUAAAAGUUCUUUGGAAUAGGACAUCAUAGAGGGUGAGAAUCCCGUAUUUGACCUUUACUUUCAACUCUGUGAUACACUUUCAAAGAGUCGGAUUGUUUGGGAAUGCAGUCCAAAAUGGGUGGUAAAUUUCAUCUAAAGCUAAAUAUUGGCGAGAGACCGAUAGCGAACAAGUACCGUGAGGGAAAGAUGAAAAGAACUUUGAAAAGAGAGUUAAACAGUACGUGAAAUUGUCAAAAGGGAAGCGUUUGACACCAGUGUUGUUUUUCUGAAAAUCAAUUAAAGAACUGUUUAUGCUAAGCUGUUUAGACUUUAUCAGCUAACUGUUUAGUUUUGAGCUUUUCUUUAAUGCACUUUUCAGUUAACAAGUCAACAUCAAUUUCUUUUGCUGUAAAAAAGCUUGAGGAAGGUGGCUUGAGAUUCGUCUUAAGUGUUUAUAGCCUCUUGCCUAUGCAGUCGGAGAGAUUGAGGUCUGCAGCGUAGAUCCUUCGGGGCUAAAUGCAUUUGUGCUAAGUUAUAGCAUUUUAUAGACAACUUGUUGACUAUGAUUUGUCUUGUAGCUUACUCGCUUAUGUUAUUUUACCUACGCUUAGGAUGUUGACGCAUGAGAUAUACG